ensembl:lncRNA
AUGUAUAAAUCUACUAAUUUCCUUGACACAGAAAAGCCAAAGGUCUACGAAGGUGUUCGGGUGAAGAUCACGGUAAAGGAAUUGCUGGAAAAGCGCAGAGCUCGUCAAAUGAAAUUGUCAUCGGAAUGUGCAAACUCUUGGUAUCAAGAUGCUGUUGCCACACCUUCCUUAAGUCUAGUGCCAGAGCCAAGUGCACAACCCUGGCCCUGUGAGGACAACCCCAGUGACUAUGGGACAGAGUGUCUCUCAUUAUACAGUGAUAACUUCAGCUCGGCUCAACAGACUGAACCUGCAGCAUACAGUGAACCCUGCAACUACACUCAUCAACAGCCCUGGUCCCUUGGACAUAUAUUGCACAAGGACUAUAGGGAAGGACAGGCCUCCUGGUCCUCAUUAGAGAUUUGGACUCCGGCCUGCACACCAGAGAAAAUUAAUCCUUUGGACACCCAUCAUCUCCCCUCCUCACUACAAGAAUACUCAGACCCUGUGGAUCCCACUUACAUAUCGCUUAAUACAAAUGUCACUCAAUAUGAUACCUCUGUGUACUCAAACCCUACUGAAUCGAGCUCUACAAUACAGUGGAUGCCCUGACCUAAGUAGCACAGGUUAUUAUGGGUCAACUUUGGACAACUGUUAUUAUAAAUGGCAAAUGUCAAGCAUGAGUCAUGUUUAAAUACAGAGUUUCUGGAGGGUGGCGGGGAGAUGGUGGCUGGCUGGGCGCACUCUGUUCUGUGCCCCAUCUGGAGACCAACCUGAGGUUUAGGGCUGGCAGGGUCUACCAGCUGUGUGUGUGAGUGUACGAGAGAGAGAAAGUGAGAUAAGGAACUUUUUUUAUAGAUUGCCAUAAUUAUUUUUCAAGUCAAUAAAAUGAAAUUGA